AGCAUGUUGAGAGGAUCGUUAUUAUUUGUUCCUGAUUGAGAUAAUAAAGAUUGGUUAAUGAAUAAGCUUAAUUAACGAAAGCCUCAGUUAAUGAAAGUUCCCCUCCAACAUGAGAACAGACAUGAAAAGUGAAAGCAGUUCAGGAAGACGAGAAUCCCUUUAAAAAUUU
rnacentral:misc_RNA from 1 species